GGAUAUAAACCGUUAGUAGUCCCUUGGAUGGUCCAGAAAAUAGAGUUGAUGGCAACAUGGUGGUGACGACAACAAAUUUGAAACAGCUUCGACAGUGUCUCACGCAAGAUCAAGAAGAUCAGAAAGAAAGGCUAGGCAGUAAAAUGCAAGAUCUGGAGCAAAAGGUCCAAGAUGUGGAUAUAAAAUUGCAUCAGAAUGAAGCUACACUGAAGGAAUUGCGCAAGCUUGAAGACAAGGUCGCCACCAAGACAGAUGACACACUCUAUUUGAGGAGCAAGAAGAAGAGUUCUAGAGAUCUAGGUGACGAUAGUGAUGACAGAUUUGGACAAAGAUCUAAGGGAAUGGAAUGCCAAGUUUACUGCAAGGAUAGCUGUCCUGGAAGAUGUCUUUUGGAAUAUUGAGGACAUUGAGACAAAAAGCUAUUAUUGAGGAAUUGAGACGAAAAACUUUCUUAUAUAGAAAAAAAUCUUAGAUUACAUUGGGAAAGUUGGCAAGCUUCAGGCUGCACCUGAGCUUUAUAUGAAAUUGAAGAAGUAGAGAGAUGUGACAAUCCACGAGCUUUAUCGGCAUCACAAUCUGGGGUCUCUUUCAUAAACUCCUUUCAACAAUGAAGUUGCUUCAAUUCAUAUAAGUUGUAUAAAGUCGAGAUUGGACGAUCUUGAUCGUGACCUAGAUGAGAAGAAGGGUAUCGAGGUUGAAAGAUUAAGCUUCUUUUGGAAGGAAAAUUGAUCCCAAAAUACAGGAUAAGUCAAAAGAGGUAGCAGCUCUUACAAAUAAAGUUAAAGUCCUGUGUCUUAUUGAAGGACAAAGAUGUCAAUGCACUGCAACUAAAAUAACAAGAAGUCAAUGAUAAUUUGGUCAAACUU